CCUUACUUCAUCAUAACAUCUUGGCACUCUGAUCAAAUAGUUUGAGCCAUCGACUUGUAACUGAUUGAUAACCAGUGGACUCUGCAAGCAUCUACUUAACAUACAUUGAUUGCACCUCAUAUAGGAUAGAACAUCUAUAAAACAAGCAACUUAGCAAGAUACCGGGUUGGCUAGACGCAACUUCUGAUUGGCUAAACCAUCUUCUGAAUCGGUUGGCUUUUGUUGAUGAGGGCUUUGGACCGUGAGCUUAGGGGUAUAAAACUUGGGCCUCCGACUGGCAGUCUUCAUUCCUGUUUCGAUGCUGGUUGCUGGCGGUUCUAUUCCUGAUGGGCUCAUGGUAGCCUGAUGUUGAUGUCAACCUUUGGGUACUUGGUAGUACACGUCUGUACUUCUCAAACCCAAGCUUCAUAAACAUCUUGAUUGCCCAAGUUGUCCGAGCUGUAAGAUGUAAUUUGAUGUCUACCUGGGUUCUAUGAUGCAUGCAGCCUAUCAGAACAUACAAGAACAUUAUGUCCGAGGUGUAAGAUGUAAUUUGAUGUCUACCUGGGGUUCUCUGAUGCAUGCAGCCUGUCCGAACCUGCAAGAAUAUUUUUGAUGGCCCGACGAUGUCCGAUCUGUAAGAUGUAAUUCGAGGUCUACCUGGGGUUCUCCGAUGCAUGCAGCCUGUCGAAACAUUUUUGAUGGCCCGACGAUGUCCGAGCUGUAAGAUGUAAUUCGAUGUCUACCUGGGGUUCUCCGAUGCAUGCAGCCUGUCAUAACAUUUUUGAUGGCCCGACGAUGUCCGAGCUGUAAGAUGUAAUUCGAGGUCUACCUGGGGUUCUCCGAUGCAUGCAGCCUGUCGAAACAUUUUUGAUGGCCCGACGAUGUCCGAGCUGUAAGAUGUAAUUUGAUGUCUACCUGGGGUUCUCCGAUGCAUGCAGCCUGUCAUAACAUUUUUGAUGGCCGGACGAUGUCCGAGCUGUAAGAUGUAAUUUGAUGUCUACCUGGGGUUCUCCGAUGCAUGCAGCCUGUCAUAACAUUUUUGAUGGCCCGACGAUGUCCGAGCUGUAAGAUGUAAUUUGAUGUCUACCUGGGGUUCUCCGAUGCAUGCAGCCUGUCAUAACAUUUUUGAUGGCCCGACGAUGUCCCAGCUGUAAGAUGUAAUUCGAGGUCUACCUGGGGUUCUCCGAUGCAUGCAGCCUGUCGAAACAUUCUUGAUGGCCCGACAUGUCCGAGCUGCAAGAUGUAAUUUGAUGUCUACCUGGGGUUCUCCGAUGCAUGCAGCCUGUCAUAACAUUCUUGAUGACUGUGCCGAUGUCUGUGCUGAACGUGUGAUGUUAAACAGGGGGUUCUCUGAUGCAUGCAGCCCAUCGGAACAUUAUUUUCAAGUUCGCUGUUUGAGUCGACCCCCUCGUCACACCAUGAAGAUCUGGUUGUAGAAGAGAUGUGAAACUCAAGAUCAAGACUCAAGAUUCAUUAAAAGAAACUUUGCUCAUAAUAAUUGUUUGAAACAUUGCUUGAAAUUUUAUCAAACUUUGCUUAAAAUUGCGUCAAACUUUGCUUGAAAUGGAGUCUUUGCUUUGCUUAAACAAACUUCAAACUUUGCUGAAAAUUGUGCGGAACUUUGCUUAAACAAAUUUCAAACUUUGCUGAAAAUUGUGCGGAACUUUCAUUAAAAAUUUGCUCAAAAUGGCGUCAAACUUUGCAUCAAACUUUGCUUUAAAUGGUGUCUGACUUUGCUGAAAAUAUUUCAACUUUGCUAAAAAUUGUGCAGAACCUUGCAUAAAACUUUGCUCAAAAUCGAGUCUUUACUUUGCUUAAACAAAUUUCAAACUUUGCUGAAAAUUGUGCGGCACUUUCCUUAAAAAUUUGCUCAAAAUGGCGUCAAACUUUGCAUCAAACUUUGCUUUAAAUGGUGUCUGACUUUGCUGAAAAUAUUUCAAGCUCUGCUAAAAAUUGUGUAGAACUUUGCUAGAAACUUUACUUGGAAUUGCAUCUAAUUUUGCUAGAAAUUAUUGUAAACAUUGCUCAAAAUUGCGUCAAACUUUGCUCAAAUUUUGCUUGAAACUUUGCCCAAAAUGGCGUCUAACUUUGCUUAACAAAAUUUCAAACUUUGCUAAAAAUUGCGUUAAACAUUGCUAAAAAUUGCGUCAAACUUUGCUCAAAACAUUUUUAAACUUUGCUGAAAAUUUUGCUUGAAACUGCAUCAAACUUUGCCCAAAAUGGCGUCUAACUUUGCUUAACAAAAUUUCAAACUUUGCUAAAAAUUGCGUAAAACUUUGCUUAAAAUUGCGUCAAACUUUGCUCAACAUUUUUAA